UACGUAGGGGGCGAGCGUUGUCCGGAAUUACUGGGCGUAAAGCGCGCGUAGGCGGGCUGCCAAGUCCGGGGUGAAAUCUUUCGGCUCAACCGGAAAAGUGCUUCUGAUACUGGCGGGCUGGAGGGAGGUAGGGGCGGAUGGAACUUCCGGUGGAGCGGUGAAAUGCGUAGAUAUCGGAAGGAACGCCGGUGGCGAAAGCGAUCCGCUGGACCUCUUCUGACGCUGAGGCGCGAAAGCCAGGGGAGCAAACGGG
rnacentral:rRNA from 1 species